AUUGAACGCUGGCGGCAUGCUUUACACAUGCAAGUCGAACGGUAACAGGCCGCAAGGUGCUGACGAGUGGCGAACGGGUGAGUAAUGCAUCGGAACGUGCCCAGUCGUGGGGGAUAACUACUCGAAAGAGUAGCUAAUACCGCAUACGAUCUAUGGAUGAAAGCGGGGGACCGUAAGGCCUCGCGCGAUUGGAGCGGCCGAUGUCAGAUUAGAUAGUUGGUGGGGUAAAGGCUCACCAAGCCAACGAUCUGUAGCUGGUCUGAGAGGACGACCAGCCACACUGGGACUGAGACACGGCCCAGACUCCUACGGGAGGCAGCAGUGGGGAAUUUUGGACAAUGGGCGCAAGCCUGAUCCAGCAAUGCCGCGUGCAGGAAGAAGGCCUUCGGGUUGUAAACUGCUUUUGUACGGAACGAAACGGCUCUGGUUAAUACCCGGGGCUAAUGACGGUACCGUAAGAAUAAGCACCGGCUAACUACGU
rnacentral:rRNA from 1 species